rnacentral:rRNA from 1 species
UGGCGGCGUGCCUAACACAUGCAAGUCGAGCGAGAAAGGGGAGCAAUCCCUGAGUAAAGCGGCAGACGGGUGAGUAACACGUGGGUAAUCUGCCCUUGAGUGGGGAAUAACAUCUCGAAAGAGGUGCUAAUACCGCAUGACAUCCACGGUCCCACGGGAGCGUGGAUCAAAGGUGGGGAUCUUCGGACCUACCACUCGAGGAGGAGCCCGCGCCUGAUUAGCUAGUUGGUGGGGUAAUGGCCUACCAAGGCGACGAUCAGUAGCCGGCCUGAGAGGGUGAACGGCCACACUGGAACUGAGACACGGUCCAGACUCCUACGGGAGGCAGCAGUGAGGAAUUUUGCGCAAUGGGCGAAAGCCUGACGCAGCAACGCCGCGUGGACGAUGAAGGUCUUCGGAUCGUAAAGUCCUGUCGAGUGGGAAGAAAAAUGUGGGGGCUAAUAUCUCCCGCAUUCGACUGUACCACCAGAGGAAGCCCCGGCUAACUCCGUGCCAGCAGCCGCGGUAAUACGGAGGGGGCUAGCGUUGUUCGGAAUUAUUGGGCGUAAAGGGCGCGUAGGCGGCCGGAUAAGUCUGACGUGAAAUCCCUCGGCCUAACCGGGGAACUGCGUUUGAAACUGUUCGGCUCGAGU